rnacentral:lncRNA from 1 species
UAGAUGGUUACUUCUGAAGCCACCUGAAGAGCUGGCGUUCUUAUCGCUUGCCUGUGAAAGCCUGAGACAGACAGACAGAUAAGGAGCCUAGACUUCUCCAGAAUUUCUGGCUAUUGUGUCAUGACUGUUUGGAGGAGUGUAAGCAGAGCAUGGAAAAGAGCGUGGAUCUAAACAGAGAAAAUGCACAUAAGGAGCCUGGGCAGACCCGCCUUCAUGUGAAAGGCUGGAGAAAGCUUGGAGAUAACAACAUAGAGCUGUAAUGGAUUUCCUGGGUUUUUCCACUCCAGUUGCUCUUUUGCCACCUGAAGAAGGAGGAACAGAGAUGGUGAGAGUGCCUACGUGAUGAGACAUCUGGAAGUCCUUAUCAAGAAUGAAACACUUGAGCAACCCAUUUCCUUAGCACUUACCCAAAGGCCAGAGAUGCUGUCUGCAAUACUCUGCAGGAAGUCCCAAAGCUAA